rnacentral:lncRNA from 8 species
AUGAUAGAACAUUCCACCAUGGUUGAUGUCACCCAUCCCAAUGGAACGGUCACUAUGACAACUACUGUAACAGUGGUAGUGUCCAGUCUAACUGACAAAGAAGUUAGGUGUGUUGCUUCUAUGUUCUUCAGUGAUGUCACCAAGAAUGCUUCCAUGGUGAUUCCAGCUUCAAUUACUGGUCAAUCUCAGGUCUCUGAUGAUGACAGGAUCAGUGGUGCAGUGGUUGGUGCAGUGAUGGGUUCAGUGUUGUGUUCAGUGUGUCUCAUUGCUGUAUUCUGUGUAAUAUGGCUGCAAAAGAGGAGAAAAGAUACCUCUUCCAGAAAACCCCCAGUUCCUGACCCUGAAAUCAGCCCAACUCCCUAA